AUAAAACUUAAAUUUAAAUAUAUUUUAAUAAAACAAAAGAUAUAAUUAUUAUUAAUAAAUAUAUAAAAUUUAAAUUCUUCUUAUUACACCACAUAGACAAAUAUACAAUCAAGAAUUUAAAUUUUCCCACAACAUAUUUGCAAUAUUAUCCUUUAUUCGAGCCAUAUAUUCUCCAUCUAUUGUAUUUGUAGCAUUUAAUGCUUCCGUGUCGUCUAAAUCGUUCUCCGAGUUUGUGUCGUUUAUUCUCGUCUCUAUCAUCACUUCAGCAAAAUCUACAUCUGCAAAAUUUGAAAUUUUGAUAAAAUUAUGUAGUCCAAUAGUUGCCAUUAUCACUCUUUUUUGUAUAUCAAUAUCAUAUCUUGAAAAAUCAGAAAAGUAUUAUUAUAUUUUUAAAAUAACAGUUUUUUGUUUCAUAUAUGAAAAUAAGAUCAAAAUAUAUAUUUUAAACUUAAUUAUUAAUAUUUAUAAACUAAAAAUAUGAAAAAAUUGAAAUACUUUUAAGAUUCAUGGGUGUACCUUUCUAAAAUUCAAAUGUGAUUUCAAAGUGCACAUGCAAAAAAAA
rnacentral:lncRNA from 1 species